rnacentral:misc_RNA from 1 species
GUAGGUGAACCUGCGGAAGGAUCAUUAUUAAACUGGUUCAGCCCCGAAAGGGGCGCAGAGAAGAGGGGUGGGCACUGGGCAACCAGACGCUACCUCUCGACACUGUCACCCACUGUUAAUUUACCUUUGUUGCUUUGGUGGGAGCCGCUGGCUUGCCUAGCUGCUCGCGAGAGCCCCGCCAGAGGACCCAACUCUUGAUUUUAGUGAUGUCUGAGUACUAUUAAAUAGUUAAAACUUUCAACAACGGAUCUCUUGGUUCUG